rnacentral:rRNA from 1 species
AGCUUGCUGGGUGGAUUAGUGGCGAACGGGUGAGUAACACGUGAGUAACCUGCCCUUAACUCUGGGAUAAGCCUGGGAAACUGGGUCUAAUACCGGAUAGGAGCGUCCACCGCAUGGUGGGUGUUGGAAAGAUUUAUCGGUUUUGGAUGGACUCGCGGCCUAUCAGCUUGUUGGUGAGGUAAUGGCUCACCAAGGCGACGACGGGUAGCCGGCCUGAGAGGGUGACCGGCCACACUGGGACUGAGACACGGCCCAGACUCCUACGGGAGGCAGCAGUGGGGAAUAUUGCACAAUGGGCGCAAGCCUGAUGCAGCGACGCCGCGUGAGGGAUGACGGCCUUCGGGUUGUAAACCUCUUUCAGUAGGGAAGAAGCGAAAGUGACGGUACCUGCAGAAGAAGCACCGGCUAACUACGUGCCAGCAGCCGCGGUAAUACGUAGGGUGCGAGCGUUAUCCGGAAUUAUUGGGCGUAAAGAGCUCGUAGGCGGUUUGUCGCGUCUGUCGUGAAAGUCCGGGGCUUAACCCCGGAUCUGCGGUGGGUACGGGCAGACUAGAGUGCAGUAGGGGAGACUGGAAUUCCUGGUGUAGCGGUGGAAUGCGCAGAUAUCAGGAGGAACACCGAUGGCGAAGGCAGGUCUCUGGGCUGUAACUGACGCUGAGGAGCGAAAGCAUGGGGAGCGAACAGGAUUAGAUACCCUGGUAGUCCAUGCCGUA